rnacentral:rRNA from 1 species
CGUAGGUGGCAAGCGUUGUCCGGAUUUAUUGGGUUUAAAGGGUGCGUAGGCGGCCCUGUAAGUCAGUGCUGAAAUAUCCCGGCUUAACCGGGAGGGUGGCAUUGAUACUGCAGGGCUUGAGUAAAGUUGAGGUAGGCGGAAUUGACGGUGUAGCGGUGAAAUGCCUAGAUAUCGUCAAGAACACCGAUAGUGUAGACAGCUUACUAAGCUUUAACUGACGCUGAGGCACGAAAGUGUGGGGAUCAAACAGGAUUAGAUACCCUGGUAGUCCACACUGUAAACGUUGAAGACUCGCUGUUGGCGAUACACGGUCAGCGGCUGAGAGAAAUCGUUAAGUCUUCCACCUGGGGAGUACGCCGGCAACGGUG